GAGGCUAAUGACUCCUAUGACCCACUCAAAGAUCAGUCACGAAGGCCAAAGUCAAAUGAUCCAGGAUGGAAAUAUGCUUACUAUGUUGAGGCGGGAAAGCGAGAGCUGAUUCAAUGUGCUUUGUGCCCCAAACAAAUAAAAGGAGGUAUCAAGAGGGUGAAACAACAUCUAGCUGGUGGCUAUGGAGACAUUGUCAAGUGUCCUAACACUACUAGAGAGAUUGCUAAAGAGAUGAAUGAAGCUUUGAAUCAUGGGAAGCGGGCUAGGCCGUUGUACCUAGAUGACGAUGUAAUGGAAGAUGAAGCAGGACAAGAAGAUGAUGUCCAAGUUAUGGGAAGCAGGUCAAUGUCAGCAUCAUCCAAGGCUUCCUCAUGUACUGUGCCAAGUUCUGGAACAACUGCCAAAAGAAACAA
rnacentral:misc_RNA from 1 species